GUUGACGUUGUUCACAAAUCGCAGUGAACGAUUCAUUAGCCGCGUGAUCUGAUUGCAGUCUCAACUCGAUUCAGUCGAUCCAAUGAUCCGGUUGGAGCGAGUCCGGGAGUAAUGUGAUCCUCAGAGCUUGAGUGUUCAACUGAUGAAACUGAAAAUGAUAGAUGACAACAUCCAUCAUAUAAGAGCCAAGAGGAACAUCAUCAGUGCCGAUGGUCAGCGAUGAGGACGGGCCGUCGCACACUUGCCAGUAUUUACCUGUCAAACACAAUGGUGGAUUGUCAGGACCUUCUGGUUGUGAGGGAACACGAUGUCAAUGGUGAAGGUGAUUUUGGCACCGGUCAAG